GGUGAUGGAAGGUGGACGUGGAGACAACUGGACAUGUCCAGAGAAUGGUUUUGAGGCAUAAAGAAAAAAGAGAUGAUCGACUGCUAAAGGACGUUGCCGGCGUCAGAAGAAAAAUACCGCCAAGAAGGAAAUAAAGGAGCUCGUGUGGAAAUGCAAGCCAUAAAGAAGCAGAAAAUGAGAACGGAGGCCAAGACGUGACUCCUUCAUGCAGGCCACUCACCGUCCCGUUGGUGCCACCGGGCUGCGUGCAGGAAGCUCUCGCAGUAAUGCAUCAGGAACUCGUGGCCCGAGUGCUGGGCUGUCCCCAGCAGCAAGGGCAGCAGGUCCCGGCCGUCAAUCACCCUACCGGCAGGAACACAGGGACUCAGGGCGGGGCUGCUGGAAGGGGGGCGUGAGCCUUAAGCCCAGGGCAGCCCUGGGGCAGUCAGCACACCAUCCGCCUGCACACAGCAUCUAUGGCUAAAAGAUCUUGGAGGUCCAGCUUGCUCGGCUGAAGUAAUGGUCCACCCAGCCUUACUCUGAAGGCACAAAUAGGGGGACAAAAUGGAAACACCUGCUUGGUUUUCUAUUGAUUCGAGCUUUAAGUCGUUAUAGAAUAUGCGGUAUUCUUCAA